rnacentral:rRNA from 1 species
AAUUUUGGACAAUGGGGAAACCCUGAUCCAGCCAUCCCGCGUGUAUGAUGAAGGCCUUCGGGUUGUAAAGUACUUUUGGCUGAGAAGAAAAGGUAUCCCCUAAUACGGGAUACUGCUGACGGUAUCUGCAGAAUAAGCACCGGCUAACUACGUGCCAGCAGCCGCGGUAAUACGUAGGGUGCAAGCGUUAAUCGGAAUUACUGGGCGUAAAGCGGGGUGAGGGGGGUCGGAAAGAAAGAUGUGAAAUCCCAGGGCUCAACCCUUGAACCGCAUUUUUAAAUUCCGGGCUAGGGUAAGUUCAAGGGGGGUAGAAAUCCACGUGUAGCAGUGAAAUGCGUAGAUAUGUGGAGGAAUACCGAUGGCGAAGGCAGCCCCCUGGGAUAAUACUGACGCUCAGACACGAAAGCGUGGGGAGCAAACAGG